rnacentral:rRNA from 1 species
GAUGAACGCUGGCGGCGUGCCUAAUACAUGCAAGUCGAGCGAAUAGACGAGGAGCUUGCUCCUCUGACGUUAGCGGCGGACGGGUGAGUAAUACGUUGAUAACCUACCUAUAAUACUGGGAUAACUUCGGGAAACCGGAUCUAAUAACUGGUAAUAUAUUAAACAUCAUGGUUCAAUAGUGGAAGACGUCUUUUCGGUCAAGUAUAGUGGGGUGCUAGCCGCAUUAGCUAGUUGGUAAGGUAACGGAUUACCAAGGCAACGAUCCGUAGCCGAACUGAGGUGGUGAUCGGCAACACUGCAACUGGGAUAAGGUCCAGACUCCUAAGGGAGGCAGCAGUAGGGAAUCUUCCGCAAUGAGCGAAAGCCUGACGGAGAAAAGCCGCGUGAGUGAUGACGAUCUUCGGAUCGUAAAACUCUGUUAUUAGAGAAGAACAAAUGUGUAAGUAACUAUGCACGUCUUGACGGUACCUAAUCAGAAAGCCACGGCUAACUACGUG